UGACGGGGGGCCCCUGACUCAACCUCGCCGCCCGGAACCUAACCUUAGGGUAAAAAGGCCCUAAAACCCUAGAAGGACGAUAAGACCCUAUAAAACUUUACUACCCCAGGUCAACCUCCUAAGAUCAUCCACCCGACCUCCGUAGUUAAGCUGGGGCGGCCAACCCCCACCGGGGGGUAUACCUAACACCCUGCGUGAUCCCACGAACCCAUUUCAGUAGGAAGAUCAAGUUACUUUAGGGAUAACAGCGCAAUGGCCCCGUAGAGCCCCUAUCGAUGGGGCCGCUUGCGACCUCGAUGUUGAAUUGGGGACCUACCUGGGGCAGCCCCCGGGUGUUGGAAGUCUGUUCGACUUAUAACCCCCCACAUGAU
rnacentral:rRNA from 1 species